AGUGAACGCUGGCGGUAGGCCUAACACAUGCAAGUCGAACGGCAGCACAGUAAGAGCUUGCUCUUACGGGUGGCGAGUGGCGGACGGGUGAGGAAUACAUCGGAAUCUACUUUUUCGUGGGGGAUAACGUAGGGAAACUUACGCUAAUACCUCAUACGACCUACGGGUGAAAGCAGGGGAUCUUCGGACCUUGCGCGAUUGAAUGAGCCGAUGUCGGAUUAGCUAGUUGGCGGGGUAAAGGCCCACCAAGGCGACGAUCCGUAGCUGGUCUGAGAGGAUGAUCAGCCACACUGGAACUGAGACACGGUCCAGACUCCUACGGGAGGCAGCAGUGGGGAAUAUUGGACAAUGGGCGCAAGCCUGAUCCAGCCAUACCGGGUGGGUGAAGAAGGCCUUCGGGUGGUAAAGCCCUUUUGUUGGGAAAGAAAAGCAGCAGGUUAAUACCCCGCUGUUCUGACGGUACCCAAAGAAUAAGCACCGGCUAACUUCGU
rnacentral:rRNA from 1 species